GCAUCGGUGGUCUAGUGGUAGAAUACUCGCCUGCCACGCGGGUGACCCGAGUUCGAUUCCCGGUCGAUGCA
rnacentral:tRNA from 1 species